GUCAGGGUAUGCGUAGUGGUUUGAGCACUGGACGUUGACUCUGGAGACUUGGGUUCGAUUCCCCGCUCAGCCA